rnacentral:misc_RNA from 1 species
GUUCCACACACUUCACAGAUUGGGGUGAGUGGGAGAUUGAUUUCAACUGUUUCAGUUAAAAAAGAAGAAAGAGUUGAAGCAUCGCUUUGUACAGUUUAACAAUGUUUUGUUGGCUCGAAAACAAGAAAGCGACCGAUGAAGACAGAGCAUCAGAUCCCUGCACCGGAAGAAUGGGGGCGAGCUGAUUUCAAGUUUUUAACUGAUUACAUAUAAUGGGGUGGGUCCCAUUUUCACUGUUCAAUAAAAGAGAGAGAGAGAGAG